rnacentral:rRNA from 1 species
UACAGAGGGGGCAAGCGUUGUCCGGACUUACUGGGCGUAAAGCGCGCGCAGGCGGUCGCGGGCGUCGGUGCUGAAAGGGCGCCGCUUAACGGCGCGAAGGGUGCCGAUACGCCGCGACUGGAGCGAUGGCGAGGGUGGUGGAAUUGCCGGUGUAGUGGUGAAAUGCGUAGAGAUCGGCAGGAACACCCGUGGCGGAAGCGGCCACCUAGCCGUUGGCUGACGCUGAGGCGCGACAGCGUGGGGAGCGAACCGG